GCAGAGCAACCAGUUGUGGCGAACCAGUCGACCGGUUUGCCAUAUUAGUCCAGGGACUGGGUGGCUGAAGUGACGUCACAGGUCAGCUGCAGCGGCACAGCCUCCCUAUAUCGAUGUGGGCUAUUAUUCAAGCAAUUAUUUCUUCGGUGUUCGGGUCGUUAAGAUGGCGUCGAUAACCGAUCAAAGUGGAGAGAGAGCCCCAUCCGCAGCGUGUGCGUUGCUCCGCAGCGCGUACGAUACGCGACGGCUUCAAUCGCUCUUUCGCGGGCGCGAGAACGACGUAUCUAUACACACAGAACACAAUAUACACGCACAUUGCAGAGGGGUCAGUGUCACGUGGGGCUGCUGCAGAGUUCAUUGACUGACUAAGCCAAGCUGUAGCCGCAAACCGAACGAUCGUCGGAGGAGACCGGUUGGUCAGCCCUUUACCUCUCGACUCCGUUGCAGGACAUACCCGUCC